rnacentral:snoRNA from 1 species
AACCCAUGGUAAGGGCAUCUUCUCAAGAGAUCCUUGUAUCUCUCCCAUGCAUCAUAGAGUGUUUCUAAAUUGAUCUGCAUAAAAAAAGAGAUAUCAUUACAUAAUUU